CGGGUAGACGUUCCAUUCGAGCCUCAGCGGCUGAGCAGCAGAGAGACUGAAGACUUCAGUGUAACAUCCAGCAUCAACAUGCCAAGGACUGCAGAGAUGAAGCCAGGCCUGGCCCUGCUUGGACCUCCAGACUGACAUCUUGUGCUCAAGUACGACUAUGAGCUGAAAAUGAAGUGUCUGCUAGAGAGACGUGAGGCUUGUUUGAGGCCCUGCUGUGACUCUUCACGGCGGGGUUAUAGGACUGCAGAGAUGAAGCCCGGCCCUGCCCUGCUUAGACCUCCAGACUGACAUCUGGUGCUCAAGUAUGACUAUGAGCUGAAAAUGAAGGACUGCAGAGAUGAAGCCAGGCCCUGCCCUGCUUAGACCUCCAGACUGACAUCUGGUGCUCGAGUAUGACUAUGAGCUGAAAAUGAAGCCUCACCAGUAACCAUGUGGAUGGAUGUUGUGACUCCUCAUUGAGACUGCGAACUUCAGAUUUCACCAGCAUGACACAAGACGUUGAUGCAGGAGAAGAUUGUUCCUCCGAAUCAGUCUGAUGGCUCUUGAUGGUUUUAUACAAGAAAACAAUGAAUUAAAUCUAUAUCUGAGGAUUUCAUCUGAGUGUUGGAGAACCAGUUCAUCUGCUGAGGAGAAAUAAAGUUCAUAUUUGGAUGUUUAAUCUUCAGAUAAUUCCCAGUUUUACCUAAUUUGUGCAAACAUCUUCAGUAAAAUCCAGUCGAGGAAGAAUAAUUGUCCAGAGUUUUAAUAAUCGCAGUAAGAUUUAUGUUGAUGGUAAAGUCAUUUUAAAUUGUACGAGGGUUUGACGAGAAACACUGUUGAAAUAAAAUCAUUCUAAACACA